rnacentral:rRNA from 2 species
UAAAGCUAAAGAUCCUCCAAGCCGUCAUACGCACCGCGAGAGAACGAAAUCCAAAUACGAAAGUAGCUUUAAGUACACUGACCCCACGAAAGCUAAGAAACAAACUGGGAUUAGAUACCCCACUAUGCUUAGCCAUAAACCCAGAUGUGAUACUACACACGCAUCCGCCAGGGUACUACGAGCACAGCUUAAAACCCAAAGGACUUGGCGGUGUCUCAGACCCACCUAGAGGAGCCUGUUCUAGAACCGAUAACCCUCGUUAAACCUCACCACUCCUUGUUUAUCCCGCCUAUAUACCGCCGUCGUCAGCUUACCCUGUGAAGGGCAAAUAGUAAGCAAAAUGGGCAUACCCAAAAACGUCAGGUCGAGGUGUAGCGUAUGGAGUGGGAAGAAAUGGGCUACAUUUUCUAUAACACAGAAUACGAACGAAGGGCAUAAUGAAACAGCUGCCUGAAGGUGGAUUUAGUAGUAAAUAAUAAAUAGAGAGCAUUAUUGAAUUAGGCUCUGAGACGCGCACACACCGCCCGUCACUC